rnacentral:rRNA from 1 species
AGAGUUUGAUCCUGGCUCAGGAUGAACGCUAGCGGCAGGCUUAAUACAUGCAAGUCGUGGGGCAGCAGGGUUGUAGCAAUACAAUCGCUGGCGACCGGCAAACGGGUGCGUAACACGUACGCAACCUUCCCGUUACUGUGGAAUAGCCCAGGGAAACUUGGAUUAAUACCACAUAUUAUAUUGAUGAGGCAUCUCAUUGAUAUCAAAGCUUCGGCGGUAACGGAUGGGCGUGCGGUUGAUUAGGUAGUUGGCGGGGUAGCGGCCCACCAAGCCUACGAUCAAUAGCUGAUGUGAGAGCAUGAUCAGCCACACGGGCACUGAGACACGGGCCCGACUCCUACGGGAGGCAGCAGUAAGGAAUAUUGGGCAAUGGACGAAAGUCUGACCCAGCCAUGCCGCGUGAAGGAUUAAGGUCCUCUGGAUUGUAAACUUCUUUUCUCUGGGGCGAAAACCACCCUUUCUAGGGUAUUUGACAGUACCAGAGGAAUAAGCACCGGCUAACUCCGUGCCAGCAGCCGCGGUAAUACGGAGGGUGCAAGCGUUAUCCGGAUUCACUGGGUUUAAAGGGUGCGUAGGUGGGUCUGUAAGUCAGUGGUGAAAUCCCCGAGCUUAACUUGGGAACUGCCGUUGAUACUAUAGAUCUUGAAUAUCGUGGAGGUAAGCGGAAUAUGUCAUGUAGCGGUGAAAUGCUUAGAUAUGACAAAGAACACCAAUUGCGAAGGCAGCUUACUACACGAUCAUUGACACUGAGGCACGAAAGCGCGGGGAGCAAACAGGAUUAGAUACCCUGGUAG